rnacentral:rRNA from 1 species
AUGAAUCUACUGAGUUGGAACUGCCGGGGUGGGGGGAAUCCCCGGAUAGUUCGUGAUGUUGCGACGUUGGUGCGGCGCAUUCUCCCCAUGUUUGUGUUUUUGUGCGAAACUCGACAAAAAUCGAGUAAGAUGAAAAGAAUUAGAGGACAUCUCGGCCUUCACGGUUUUUUGGGUGUGGACAGUAAUGGAUUAAGCGGUGGACUAGCAUUGUUUUGUCACGAAUCAUACCAAGUAACAGUUCUAGGAACAGAUGACAGGUUCAUUGAUAUUUCUGUUAGCUCUCCCGGCGGGGAGCAAUGGAGAUUAACUGCAGUUUAUAGUGAACCUAUGGUUGAAAACAUGCACUUGAUGUGGACUAAACUGCAAACUUUGAAGCAAGCUUCGGACCUGCCUUGGGUAGUAAUCAGAGACUUCAAUGAGGCGAUGUAG